GGAAUGAAUCUUACUUGUUGAAUACCUUCUGGUUACUAGUUGGAUUCAUUUGUAAAAGAAUCAUUUUCCCCUGUGUGGAAGACACUUAGUGGCAUAUUUAAAUUAUAAGUCCACGGAUCAAAAAGCUUUUUGAUUUCCCAAAGGAGGGACAUACCACUAUAUCAGAUAAGCUUGACAUGACAGCCAAGAUGGUGCUGUCCCAGAGACAACGAGAUGAACUCAAUCGAGCUAUAGCAGAUUAUCUUCGUCCAAAUGGCUAUGAAGAGGCAUAUUCAGUUUUUAAAAAGGAAGCUGAAUUAGAUAUGAAUGAAGAAUUAAAGUAGGCUGGAGUUUUGGGAAAAAAAUGGACAUCUGUUAUUAGAUAACGAAAGAAGGUUAUGGAAUUAGAAUCAAAGUUAAAUUAAGCAAAAGAAGGAUUUAUGUCAGGUGGACCUCUUGGUCAGCAACAAGACCCAAAAGAAUGGGUAUUUUCUGCCAGAAAAAUAUGCAUUGAGUGGUGACAGGAGUCCAGUCACUGGAGUCACUUUCCAUCCUGUGUUCGAUGUUAUGGUCUCUGCUUCAGAGGAUGCUACAAUUAACGUGUGGGAUUAUGAGACUGGAGAUUUUGAACGAACUCUUGAAGGACAUACGGACUCUGUACGGGAUAUUUCAUUCGACCACAGUGGCAAGCUUCUGGCUUCCUGUUCUGCAGCUAUGACCAUUAAACUCUGGGAUUUUCGGGACUUUGAAUGCAUCAGAACCAUGCACAGCCAAGACCACAAUGUUUCCUCAGUAGCCAUCAUGGCCAGGGGAGAUCAUACAGUGUCUGCCUCAAGGGAUGAAGCUAUAAAAAUGUGGGAAGGGCAAACUGGCUACCGUGUGAAGACGUUCACAGGACACAGAGAAUGGGUACGUAUGGUACAACCAAAUCAAGAUGGCACUCUGAUAGGCAGCUGUUCCAAUGAGCAGACUGUGUGUGUGGGUCAUAGCAACAAAGCAAUGCAAGGCUGAGCUCCGAGAACAUGAGCAUGUGGUAGAAUGCAUUUCCUGGGCUCCAGAAAGCUCAUAUUCUUCCAUCUCUGAAGCAGCAGCCUCUGAGACUAAAAGAAAAAGUGGCAAACCUGGGCCAUUCUUGCUCUCUGGAUCCAGAGACAAGACUAUGAAGACAUGGGAUUCAGUACUGGCAUGUGCCUUAUGACCCUCGUGGUUCAUGAUAACUGGGUACGUCGAGUUCUGUUCAAUUCCAGGGGAAAGUUUAUUUUGAGUUGUGCUGAUGACAAGACCCUACGCCCAUGGGAUCACAAGAACAAGCAAUGCAUGAAGACCCUCAGUACGCAUGAACACUUUGUUACCUCCUUGGAUUUCCAGAAGACAGCACCCUAUGUGGUCACUGGCCGCGUAGAUCAAACAGUAAAAGCGUGGGAGUGCCAUUGA